GUUGCUAUGGGGUGGUGUUGCUAUGGGAUGCCGUUGCUAUGGGGCAGCGUUGCUAUGGGGCAGCGUUGCCAUGGGACGCUGUUACUAUGGGAUGCUGUUGCUAUGGAGUGCCGUUGCUAUGGGGCACGGUUGCUAUGGAGUGCUGUUGCUAUGGGAUGCCGUUGCUAUGAGACACAGUUGCUAUGGGGCUGCGUUGCUAUGGGACGCUGUUGCUAUGGGGUGCUGUUGCUAUGGGACACCGUUGCUAUGGGACGGUGUUGCUAUGGGGUGUCGUUGCUAUGGGGUGCUGUUGCUAUGGGGUGGUGUUAUUAUGGGAUGCCGUUGCUAUGGGGCACCGUUGCUAUGAGACACAGUUGCUAUGGGGCUGCGUUGCUAUGGGACGCUGUUGCUAUGGGGUGCUGUUGCUAUGGGACACCGUUGCUAUGGGACGGUGUUGCUAUGGGGUGUCGUUGCUAUGGGGUGCUGUUGCUAUGGGGUGGUGUUAUUAUGGGAUGCCGUUGCCUAUGGGAUGUCGUUGCUAUGGGGCACGGUUGCUAUGGGGCAUGGUUGCUAUGGGAUGCCGUUGCUAUGGGGUAAUGUUGCUAUGGGGUGGUGUUAUGGGAUGCCGUUGCUAUGGGGCAGCGUUGCUAUGGGAUGCCGUUGCUAUGGGGCACCGUUGCUAUGGGAUGCUGUUGCUAUGAUGCGGUGUUGCUGUGGGACGCUGUUGCUAUGGAGCGCCGUUGCUAUGGGAUGUCGUUGCUAUGGGGCACGGUUGCUAUGGGGCAUGGUUGCUAUGGGAUGCCGUUGCUAUGGGGUGCUGUUGCUAUGGGGCAAUGUUGCUAUGGGGUGGUGUUAUGGGAUGCCGUUGCUAUGGGGCAGCGUUGCUAUGGGAUGCCGUUGCUAUGAGACAUAGUUGCUAUGGGAUGCUGUUGCUAUGAUGCGGUGUUGCUAUGGGAUGCCGUUGCUAUGGGGUGCCGUUGCUAUGGGGUGGUGUUGCUAAUGCCGUUGCUAUGGGGCAGCGUUGCCAUGGGAUGCCGUUGCUAUGGGGUGCCGUUGCUAUGGGGUGCCGUUGCUAUGGGGCACUGUUGCUAUGGGGUGCUGUUGCUAUGGGGUGCCGUUGCUAUGAGACACAGUUGCUAUGGGGUGCCGUUGCUAUGGGAUGCCGUUGCUAUGGGGCACCGUUGCUAUGGGACGGUGUUGCUAUGGGGUGUCGUUGCUAUGGGGUGCUGUUGCUAUGGGGUGGUGUUAUUAUGGGAUGCCGUUGCUAUGGGGCACCGUUGCUAUG
rnacentral:lncRNA from 1 species